rnacentral:rRNA from 1 species
UACGUAGGGGGCUAGCGUUGUCCGGAAUCAUUGGGCGUAAAGGGUGCGUAGGCGGGGCUUUAAGUCAGGGGUGAAAUCCUGGAGCUCAACUCCAGAACUGCCUUUGAUACUGAAGAUCUUGAGUUCGGGAGAGGUGAGUGGAACUGCGAGUGUAGAGGUGAAAUUCGUAGAUAUUCGCAAGAACACCAGUGGCGAAGGCGGCUCACUGGCCCGAUACUGACGCUGAGGCACGAAAGCGUGGGGAGCAAACAGG